rnacentral:rRNA from 1 species
AUACGGAGGGUGCAAGCGUUACUCGGAAUCACUGGGCGUAAAGCGCGCGCAGGCGGCUUGAUAAGUUGGAUGUGAAAGCCUACGGCUCAACCGUAGAACUGCAUCCAAAACUGUCAGGCUAGAGUGUGGGAGAGGAAGAUGGAAUUAGUUGUGUAGGGGUAAAAUCCGUAGAGAUACCUACGAAUACCAAAAGCGAAGGCAAUCUUCUGGAACACUACUGACGCUGAGGCGCGAAGGCGUGGGGAGCAAACAGGAUUAGAAACCCCAGUAGUCC